GUGCUGCUGGGGCUGACGGUGGAGCAGUACUGAGUAUCAAAUUCGUACGAAACGAUCGCAGAAAGGACAUCACUGUGCUGGGAGGCCUUGAAAGGUGAAUCACAAAAUUGGCAAAAAUUGAAACACACACGAGCAAACGCUACAAAAUGCUGCACCGAAAGUGUAACACACGCACUAGAAGGAAGGCGAAGACUUGAGAUGUACGGGAGAGACUGCCAGGCAAUGCUGAAUGUUCGUCGCCUGAACUAGGUGGAGGUUUGAACUGCUGGAAGCAUAUCCAAAACGCUUCAACCCGCGUGGGCCGUUUGGAAGGACGGUUGGCGCAAAUGGAGAUCAAUGCAUUUUGCAAUGCAAAUUUCACGUGCGUCGGUUUAUUAUGAAGGGCAUUGUUCCCUGUGACGAGGUAAUCGGCAACUGAACUAGCUUGGUAACAACUCCUCCACAGAACAGGACAAGCACGCUCGUGCUUGAAACGAUUGCAAAACUCCCAAUGUGUGGUACCUCAUUACAAAUCUUUACACUAUGGAUCUUCGGUACGGUGUCGGCAAUAAGCACCCAAACACCCAAAAAGCCAAGCUUGAACGCACCACCAGCAACAGCACACGCCACACACUUAUGGGAUGCUGCAAACCUGUUUGCCUGUGUUGAUGAUGUUGAUCACCGCGCAGACGACGACCUGCGGCGACGACCUGUGCAACCGUGAACCGGCCGGUAUCUGCCGGCUAAUACUAGCGCCAAGUCACCAGCGCUAACUGGUUUGCUGCCACCUCGGCAGUAUGCUCCCAAAUCUCAAGACCUCUCCUUCGCUCACGGGACUGUAGUACACCUUCCACCAAGACGGGCAAUUGAAAUUGAUUUAUCACACACGCUGGAAGAGAUUUAUCACACACUCGCCAGAUGCAGCCGUUGGGUCGCGAAGCUUCUCCUGCAUUACAUGCCUGACGCUACUCUCUCUCACUCACACUGUCUCUGAGAAGGGUGUGAAAACAGAAUCGAUGUGCCGAUGGGCGCACACCACUUCCGGUAAUGCGGCCACCACGGAAAUGACGGUGGUGGUGAUGGGCGAUGGUGGAGGGAUUACGGCUCACGUGUGCCGUUACCGUGAGUGAGCCGGAUUUCACACGUUCGAAA